CCCAUGAAAUUGCAAAACCAAUCGUAAAAAAAGGUAACAAACUAACAUAGCAAAAGCUGUUGCAGUUCGUGGGAGCAGUUUAAAACUCUAUCUACUUUCAUCAAAUGAUAGACCAGAUCGAAGAACCAUAGAUUAUUCUGGGAGGAAAUUUAUACAAAUAGUGACCAGAUCGAAGAACCACCAAUUUCGAGACAGAUUGCGGAAGAAGACUACCCAAUUGGUGAUUGUAGGCACGAAAUCUUGAGUUUGUCACAUAGAAAACAGACAAAAGGGUACGAGAGCAUGACCCACGAAUUCGAUCCCUAUUUCAAUUACAGAACGAUACUUGACUCAGAAAGGUUUUUACAAGUUCUGGAACUGGUUUGACUCGGAGAGUUGGUAUCCACUUGGGUGUAUCAUUGGUGGUACGCUUUACCCUGGGCUUAUGGUCACUGUUGCCGUCAUCUACUGGGUACUGAUAUUCCUCAGAAAAAUGCGAAAGAGGAAGCACGGUGUGAGGACUACGAGAGAGGAGAUUUAUAAUUAUGUAUGGACCAAAAUUAUAUCUUUCCAAUGUUACACUUGGAAAAAUAUUCUUUGUAUUCAUGUUGAAACCACUUUCUGCUUGUGCCAUUGGAAAAAGAACUUCUAGACAAUAUAUACAAUUAUCAGGAUUGCUGAACCAAUUGAGAAAAGAGUUACUAAGGCAAUUCCUGACACAUUUGUAGAGUCAGUUCCCGCCGUUCCAUUGGAUAAUUCAUCUUUAUUGACUUCACACCAUCACAGAAUAGUUGUCUCAUUUCCUUUUCAUCCAUCCUUAGAGCCUUUGUCAAUUGACAUAGGAUGAUCAUUGGUGGGUUCUUGAUUUCAUUGCAGUAUGCUUUAAUGAUAUCCCUGCAUUUUUAAAUUAUCAAUCAUAAUCACCUUGACACUAUACAAUCAUCAAACCACAUGUAUCAUCUAAAAGUAGUAACACAAUAUUUGCAUUUCACGUGACAGAAAGAUGAGUACCAAGAUUAUCAGCAGAUUGUGUUAGAAUCUUCUCUUAUAUCUAACCAUUACUAUAUAAAUAUAAUAUGCAUAAAAGUAAAUAAGAACAUAAUAGAAUAGGACAUAACCAUUUGGCAAAAAAAAACUUAUAAGUAAUGAAAGCUUCUAAUCUUAAUACACUACUUUUCAGAUGUUGUAUUUUCUGAAAGCGUUGACAAAUGGGACUCUUUAUAUGUUUUAAAAAAAAAAUACAAAUGUGUUUAUUUCUUUGCAUCUUCACUUCAAAGAUGUAGCUCCAGUAAACAUAUGCUUCAUAUACAUUAUAUAUAGGUGAAAUAAGACAUGGAUGUGUUAUGCUGCAAUGGUUUACGGGUAUUGCACUGUACACACAACAACACUUCUAUUCCUAUCGUGUUUUCUGUUUUUCAAAUGAUCCAUUUUAAUCUUGCUUUCUUUUCUAUUUGUUAUUUCUAUUCCUAUAAUAUUUUGUGAAUCAUUUAAAAUUUUAAGCCUUUAUUUUGGAAUUAUUUAUCGGAAUAGUAGAGAAAACAAGAUCUUCUUAUGAAGUGCUCUUAAUUUGAAUUCUACCAAAUUAUGUUUUCAGAGGAGUCCUAACUUACCAAAUGAAGCUUAUAACUUCUCUCAUGUUCAUGUCUGUAGUUAUCAAGUCUAAAUUACUUUGUCUUUUACCAAGUUAAGUAAACUUAUAUUUAUUGUUAAGGGAUAAGUUCAUCUAGCUUGGUUGGAGCUUCCUGCUGCACUUUCUUUCUAUAUUUUCAUUGCAUGUGAAUGUGUAAUAUUACCUUAAUUUAUAAUUAGAUAUUUAUUUCAUAUGUAUGAACAAAGUCUUUCAAAUAUGAUUUUUUUACACCAAAAUACUUAUUUAUAUUUUCAUCUUGCCAAUUGAUGUUACAUGUUUAAUUAGCAUUAUCAAAUUUAACUUAUUUCAUGUAAUUCUUGUGUACAAGUAGGAGUACCAAUUCUGAAUUCAUAAGUAGUUGACAAAGAUAAACGAGAAAGCUAUGGGUGCUACAGUUCUAUCCUAAAGAGCAAUGUUUCAAUUAAUGUUUCUAUUUCUUUUCCCCUUAUGAGUAGUUUAAGAAACUACUGCAAUUGGUCGCUCUAUGAUAUAUUGAAUUCACUGGUGAUGAUUCCACACUUUCAUAAGUAAUUACAUCUUCGAAUUAUACCCUCUCUCUUUUUUGCCUAAAGAGUGAACCUAUUUUAUUAAUUGUUAUUCUUAGGAAGUUAAAAUUUUGUUUCUUACCAUUUCAGUUGGUUGAUGUUCGGUUAUAUAGGAUGACACUUUAUGCUGGUUGGGGCAUAUCAUUUUGAAGACCAAAAGGAAUCCAAAGAACUUUAGGAAAACCAUUCAACUCUUUGUUCAUAUAUCCAAUGGAUUUUAUAGGAUGUUUAGACUUCUUAAUUUGGCUAUGAUGUUUCUUUUUUUAAAGGGCACAAAGAAGAUAUGUGCACAUUGUUCUAUGUUCUUUGGAAUUUCUUUCCCUUAAAUCCUUUUUUAAAAACUAAUUCACUCUACGAACUCAUGAAUGAUGAACUUUCAUGGAAAUAAUGUGUCCUGUAUAUACAAAUAGUAUGUCCUUGCAGACACGUAGAAACCACGAUCUAUUUCUGCUAUUGGAAAGAUGAUUUCUAGAACACAAUAUAUACGAAAAAAUUGUACAGAUUAUUUGAAGAUUAUGCAUAUAUACUUUGGAAUUUUCUGAAUUUCUGCUAUUCUAAUUUAUUGAAAGGUUGGGUUGUUCGUCAGUGAGAAGUCCAAGAUCGUUACAAUUCAGACACUACUUUCUCGAUUGAAUUGGUUCUAUAAGAUGAAAAGAUUUGCACCGUCUUAGGGACAUUCAGAUAGACAAACUUGUAUUUGAGGAAGAUGCACCUCGUGAUGGAAAUGCAUUACUUUUUAUGUUUCGCAACCAGCUACAGAGCCGCUGGAAACAUAAAAAUUAAAGUCAUCCUUCUCAUUGUUGGAUUGGAGAUUGAUUUUGAAGUUUUUGAUUCGGACGUCAGGUUGAGCAACACAAUCUUGAGGAAACAAGUCCUCAACAAAUGGUUAUCGUUAUGCCAAAUAACACAUACAUUAAAUUGAGGCCAUUUUCGAUAGACCCCCAGCUAAAGAAACGGUGAAAAUAAAAUAACAAGCAAGAUUGGCGUUGGAGGUUACAUGGUGUUGGCUCAACCAACUGGUGCCUACGAUAUUCGAAUACUUUGAAUUGGAGAUCUGCAAUUUUGGAUGGUUGAAUAAUAUCUCUAUAGCUGCUUUCCAAAGUCAGAGAUGUACUAAAGUUUCUGAAAUACAUUGUUAUACUGAGUGUUUUAAUAUGUAAACUGUAUCUUAGGGAGAAAAAUAAAUCUUUUAAAUUGUUGCGAGAAUUGAUAAGUGUUUACUGUUGUCAUAUGCUUUGGAUUGAUUUUCUACUAA